rnacentral:piRNA from 1 species
CACAUGCCGCCAGUUCAUAGC